CCUCCUACGCCCCCACCCCCCCCCUCUACUAGAUACUACGGGAUCUCUAUAAAAAGCCUACGGUUUGAUGGGAGAGCCCGGUCUGUAUUGGGAGAGCGACUUUGGAGAAGACGGACGGCAGUUUGGCGGGGAUGAAGAGACCAGAGAGGGAGAGAUGUUUCUAUGCAAAGCGCGGCCAGUCAGGAAACUUUAACUGAGAUUUCCACAUGGAAGAGGACUUUGCUCCCUUCUUUUCCUCAUCCUGCCAGCGCAUCAGCACCUUGGCUUUAGACUGCUUACUGCUUAUACAGUGUCACAGUACAGUAACAGUCUACAGUCAUGGCUACUGAAGCCUGGCGAUUCAUCAGACACCUCUGCGAGGGGAGUGUAGAUGUGGAAAACAGCCCAAUGACAGUGCGCAGUGCUUUUAAAAUGGCCGACCUGAUAGCAGAGUGUCAACGUGUGAGUCAGUGAUCUCGCUCCGUCUCUCUUUUUCUCUCUCUCUCUCUCUUUCCUUCUCUCCCGCUGUGUCUGUUUUUUCCCUCCUGCUAAGAGAGGAAACCUGUGUGGGCUUGCAUUGGGGGAGUCCUACACCCUGCAAGUGCGUAACGUUCACACUAAAACCAAUGAGACGUUGCAGUUUCCAGUUACCAUGCCAACUCCAGCUCCACCUCAACCUGGCUGUCUCCAUGGUGACCGUGGCUUUAGAUUGUUACUCUAGCAACAGCACCAUGGUAACAGUCUACAGCCAUGGUCGUUAGGGGCAGAUGUCAUCAGGAACAGAAAAUUUGAGGUCAAUAAGUUUUAUGUGUUUGUUAAAGAAAAACAUUGAAAAUUCUUUUUAAAUAGCAAUGUCAUCUAUCUGUCUGUCUGUCUGUCUGUCUAUCUAUCUAUCUAUCUAUCUAUCUAUCUAUCUAAAUACAUACACAAUCAGGAAUUAUUAAUAAUAAAUAGUUUGAAUUUCUAUCAUAUGCUCCAACAGAUGGAAUCAAUUAUUUAAGAGGAAACAAUUGGAAAGGGUUUAAGUUUAUUUUAUUAAUCAGUUUAUCAAUAGUUUUAUUUUGUAGAACAUUAUACUAAUCCUAUGUAGUUGUGCAGUCAAGCAUGAAUUAAUUUUCUCAUGUCAAGUUUCAUUAAAAGGAAUUUGACUUUAGAUGGUCCAGCUUUGAUGAAAUGAGCCUUUGGAUGCGCUACGUAUUGAUUAUUGAAGAUUAAGAUAAAAUCCAAAGUCAGGCCUACAUUUAAACCAGCAGGGAUAAUAACAACAAAAAAGUUUUUAUGUUU